CACCAGAUCUCGUCAUUAAGUCAGGCAAUCACCUCCUCUCGUGCGUAACACCGCCCCCCGCCGUUACAGCUGCGAGCAUCUCGCCGGAGGAGGGCCGUGCCCGACGUUGCCCUCAUCUCACCUGCCGGACCUAGGUCGUCGGGCACCAGAUCUUGACAGUCCACGCGCGGCUCGAGUCUCGUUUGAACCGCCGCCGCCGCGAGAUCUGGACGUGAAAGCCGUCACACCUCUCUGUGUUCGUCCCUCCGCCCGACCUAUGCAGCUUUGUCGCCGUAGUGGUGGUCGUCACCACGUCCCCGCCUAUGAGGCCACCGAGCUCCGCGCGCUUCUCGCCGCCGUCCAGGACCCCCUCGGCCUCGCAGAAUCCAAGGCAACGCCCGAGGACCGAAAGGACAUCCCUUCAUCGUUGCUAAAAAAUCCCCUCUCUUCCCCAACAUCACGUGCGGCCUGCAGGUCGUCUCCUCCGUCCUCUGCCAUUCUGCCUCUCCGCCGCGCUCGGUCGAGACCAGCAUGUCCAGGCCAUCUGGCACGCUCUUCUUAGGGGCACAGCAGGAGAUCGCUAGGGGUCUGCCGCUCAGCCGUCCUCACGUCCUGCCGCCCGCCCCCUACGCACCCAGGUUCCUUUACUCAAAUCCCCAUCCAGGUUCAAUUAUACAAGCUACAAAAAAAAGUUGUCUUAUUCUCCCAUGGCUUGCCUUGCAACCACUCUAUGCCUAUCCAGAAGAGCAACGGUGACGGCAGACGUCAGAUCCGCAGGCAGAUGAGCAUAGGCGCAUUGGUCAGACCUCAAAUCCAAGAGCAGGCCACCCAAGUUCUGAGGAUGCAUAGCCAGACCACUAGAUUUGGCACAGCCAGAUCGAAAGAUAAUCACUAUAGAGCUGGUAUAGAAGAUAAAAAAGGGGAUAUAUGCAAGAACUUUAGGCUGUACAUGGUGCAGAGUGUGUUCUCUAGAUUGGCGUCACAGCUAGCUAGCCUAAAUCGGGAGUGAUUGGGUAUUGCUUCUACUGAAUAUGGGUGAACCUGGUUCUGAAUGGAGCACAAAAAUUCUUAUUAAAGAAAUCAUGGCGAUGCAUUUGUUUGAGUACCGGAUCAUCGAGUGUGAGAGAUGAGAAGACCUCCUUCUGCACACAAACUUUUCUUUGGAGUUGAGCACACAUUGUUGAUAGAUCUGGGAAGCAGGUCAUGAACUGCGGAAUAUUAUGAAAGACUUCCAUGGAGGGGUUUCGAGGGGGAGGGAGAUCUGGAGUUGGCUGGAAUGCUGGGUCUGUUGGUGGGCUCAUGGGGGCUAGAUGGGGUUGAGGGACAAGAAGAGGAACCAGAGGCGCGUGCUCUCGCGGCACUCGGCUGGUCCCAAGACCGGUGAUGGGAAGGGUUUCCUUUUGCGUUCUUCCUUUGAAGCAAAUCGAGGAGCCAGAGAACAUGGCCAUCGUCCUGUACAAUUUAUUUGUUGUAUCCUUCAUAAAAUAAUUGUUGAAUUGGCAACAGAGCAUGAUUACUAUGGUUUCACACUACAAAUAAACAUACACCAAGUAUUUUCUUGAUCUAAUUUUCUGGUUCUUAGAACUUUGCCGCACUCUAUGUCAGGCUAAGCAAAAGCUGCAUCGACAUCGAAGAACAUCAGAGAUCUCUGAAAUUUUUGAGGGUUAUUGUGUGUUUAUGGAUUUUUUGCUGGAUUCAAGGAGAAUUACUGUUGUUCGUGAUUUUACCACUCCAAAUCAUGAGUUAACUAUACACUCCAAAUCAGAUAUUUUAAAACGCAUUUGAAAAUAACCUUCUCUCCACUAUAGGAGACUAUCAUUGGCUCUUUGUGUGCAGGAUGUCUUCCUCACCUUCCACUGUAGAUGGGUUAGUAUGCUCCACAUUUUUUAAGAAAAUUUCCCAAAGCAGAUUGGGGCAGAUUUUCUGUGUCGAAUUUCUACUGAAGUUGGCAUUUUGCGUGCUACUAGAGGUAUGAAACCUAGAAACGCCUUUUUUUGGUACAAUUGUUUCGUUGGCAUUCUCUGCUAGCAAAGCUGAAGGUGUAGUUUUCGAAUAUCUGGCGUAGAAACUCCUGCUUAGCUGUGGUAGUGCAGAUAACUUAUCGAUCAAUGCCUUUUGUUCUUCACAAAUGAGCUCCUUCGAUGGCUGUCAGUAUUUCGGCGUGUACUCACAAUGCCCGGUACAUUUGUGACAUGUUUGGUCAUUUUGAUCUUUUCUCAUUCCUUUAGGCCAAAUCUUACUACUCAGCAUAGUUGCAUUGUCGGUGGACCGGUUAUGUGUGAAACUACUUUGAUGAACUUGCAUAGUUGCAUUGUUGGAUGGGCUGUACUGCAAGUUUGCAGAGUCGACCAAUCUUUGCAGCCAAUGGUAAGUUUCUAUUCCAAAAAGAAGAAGAGAAAGAGAACCAAACCACCAUGCGGGUCACUAAUAUGGACUUCUGGUAGUAAAACGAAUUGGCUCAUUUUUAUCUGUAGAUGACAAGCAAUGUAUCUGUUAUGUCACAGGUCAGCUUAUUUUGCAUUAUGUCCCUCCCCUCGAUGGUCUCACAUAUAUUACUUAGAUAUUUACUUCAAUUGCUCGAUAUUCUAUCAUGUAGUGAUAAAAAAUACCAAAGUGUUCUACAACUACUUAUUUCCUUUUUUGUAUAUUUUUUAAGUCAGUAGUAAUUUUGUUCUGAUACUUUUCUUAAUAAAAAUCGACGAGGCUGGUUAUUUCAAAUUUUAUUUUUACAGUCUUCACUUCUACCAUUUUUAAAAGUUACUUUUUUCUUAUGUAGCCCAUCGACUUGGUAUGAUCUCUCCGCAUUUGAUUUGCUUGGUAUAGAUAAUUCAUGUUCUAAGUAUGAAAACAUGCUUUCAGAAUAGGUUAGGAUUAAAAUCAUGUUUGAAGUAAUUCAAUGGAAAUAAAGGGCUAGGUACUUGGAGUUGACGGGUAGUUCCCUAAAUUUGAGCUUGACUUCCUCACAAAUAAUAGCUUGUAUUUUCUUUAUUUCAGGCAUGAGCCACACAUUAGGAUAUUCCAAUAAACAAGUCUACUUAUUAUAUUUACUUAAUGCUAAGACACAUGCUAAAUAGGGUUGAGCUACAGGCUUAUCUGAUCCAUAUUUCCUUUUUGAACCCCUGUUCAGACCUUAUAUAAAUGACCAUUUCCGUUGCAUAUGAGAAAGACAUGCAAAUUCUCAUUAGAACUACUAUGUGGUGUCGUCUUUGUUUAGAGUUAUCUAAAGAUGCAUAUUAACGCAAACAUUAUGUAUCCUCAGCCUUCUGGUAGAGUGUGGACAAACAUGGACCUUCUGGUAGAUGGAAAUUUCUUGCAAUUAGAUAAAUCUAUAGCUAUCUUUGUCGAGUUUAUGUUUUAGGCCAUCAAGAAAGAUGUAGAUUUUUUUUGUUUUUGCUGCAAAUAUACAAAGUGUUUAUCUGUCAUCCAGAGCUACCAGCGUGCCAUUUAUUGUUCUAGGUUUGCUGAUCCAUGUGGAUGAGUCCAUCUUGCCGGUGCAAAUUAUUAAAACAUUAGUUCAUCAGUACCUGGGCGGUGGGUUCUCGCCAAGGCCUCCGACACCAACGACCGGGUUAUUGCUCUCAACAUUGCCACCGAUGAUGGGUUGGGGAUGGGCAAGCAGAGCACCCACCAGUUCGUCUGCCUCCAUGAUAGCCACUUGGCUGGAGGGACCUGCUCAUCUACGCAACAUAUACUUGUUCUGUUUUCAUGACUAUGAUGCAUAACAAUGUUGUCUUAUAAUGGGGUUCAGUAUUAUCGUACAAUAUUAUAUCUCUGAUUUGUUUUGAAUUUUCAUAGUGAGUUGUGAAUUA